GUGCCAGCAGCCGCGGUAAUACGGAGGGUGCAAGCGUUGUCCGGAAUCACUGGGCGUAAAGGGUGCGCAGGCGGGGCAGCAAGUCGGAGGUGAAACCCCAUGGCAUAACCAUGGAGGUGCAUUCGAAACUGUUGCUCUUGAGUCCCGGAGAGGCUGGCGGAAUUCGUGGUGUAGCGGUGAAAUGCGUAGAUAUCACGAGGAACACCAGAGGCGAAAGCGGGCAACUGGACGGAUACUGACGCUCAGGCACGAAAGCGCGGGGAGCAAACAGGAUUAGAAACCCGAGUAGUCC
rnacentral:rRNA from 1 species